rnacentral:rRNA from 1 species
UGGGGAAUUUUGGACAAUGGGCGAAAGCCUGAUCCAGCAAUGCCGCGUGUGUGAAGAAGGCCUUCGGGUUGUAAAGCACUUUUGUCCGGAAAGAAAUGGCUCUGGUUAAUACCUGGGGUCGAUGACGGUACCGGAAGAAUAAGGACCGGCUAACUACGUGCCAGCAGCCGCGGUAAUACGUAGGGUCCAAGCGUUAAUCGGAAUUACUGGGCGUAAAGCGUGCGCAGGCGGUUGUGCAAGACCGAUGUGAAAUCCCCGAGCUUAACUUGGGAAUUGCAUUGGUGACUGCACGGCUAGAGUGUGUCAGAGGGGAGUAGAAUUCCACGUGUAGCAGUGAAAUGCAUAGAGAUGUGGAGGAAUACCGAUGGCGAAGGCAGCCCCCUGGGAUAACACUGACGCUCAUGCACGAAAGCGUGGGGAGCAAACAGG